rnacentral:rRNA from 1 species
GACGAACGCUGGCGGCGUGCUUAACACAUGCAAGUCGAACGGAAAGGCCCUGCUUUUGUGGGGUGCUCGAGUGGCGAACGGGUGAGUAACACGUGAGUAACCUGCCCUUGACUUUGGGAUAACUUCAGGAAACUGGGGCUAAUACCGGAUAGGAGCUCCUGCUGCAUGGUGGGGGUUGGAAAGUUUCGGCGGUUGGGGAUGGACUCGCGGCUUAUCAGCUUGUUGGUGGGGUAGUGGCUUACCAAGGCUUUGACGGGUAGCCGGCCUGAGAGGGUGACCGGCCACAUUGGGACUGAGAUACGGCCCAGACUCCUACGGGAGGCAGCAGUGGGGAAUAUUGCACAAUGGGCGGAAGCCUUAUGCAGCAACGCCGCGUGCGGGAUGACGGCCUUCGGGUUGUAAACCGCUUUCGCCUGUGACGAAGCGUGAGUGACGGUAAUGGGUAAAGAAGCACCGGCUAACUACGUG